GAGGAUAUAGUUCAGUGGUAGAGCGCAUGCUUAGCAUGCACGAGGUCCUGGGUUCAGUCCCCAGUACCUUCA
rnacentral:tRNA from 1 species